rnacentral:rRNA from 1 species
UGGGAAGUAUUGGGCAAUGGGCGCAAGCCUGACCCACGCAACGCCGCGUGAAGGAAGAAGGCCCCUCGGGUUGUAAACUUCUUUUAUCAGGGACGAAGGAAGUGACGGUACCUGAUGAAUAAGCCACGGCUAACUACGUGCCAGCAGCCGCGGUAAUACGUAGGUGGCAAGCGUUAUCCGGAUUUACUGGGUGUAAAGGGCGUGUAGGCGGGACUGCAAGUCAGAUGUGAAAACCAGAGGCUCAACCUCUGGCCUGCAUUUGAAACUGUAGUUCUUGAGUGUUGGAGAGGCAGGCGGAAUUCCGUGUGUAGCGGUGAAAUGCGUAGAUAUACGGAGGAACACCAGUGGCGAAGGCGGCCUGCUGGACAAUAACUGACGCUGAGGCGCGAAAGCGUGGGGAGCAAACAGGAUUAGAUACC